AGCUCCAAUAGCGUAUAUUAAAGUUGUUGCAGUUAAAAAGCUCGUAGUCGGAUUUCGGGCGUUGCCUUCCGGUCUGCCUCACGGUACGCACUGGCGGGGAUCGUCUUUUCUGCCGUUCAAUACCUUUCGAGGUGUUUGUCGGCUCGUUUACUUUGAGGAAAUCAGAGUGUUCAAAGCAGGCCUUUGCCAUUGUAUGUGUUAGCAUGGGAUAAUGGAAUAGGACUUUGGUGCUAUUUUGUUGGUUUCGAACACCGAGGUAAUGAUUAAUAGGGAUAGUCAGGGGCACUCGUAUUCCGUAGAGAGAGGUGAAAUUCUUAGACCCACGGAAGACGAACUACUGCGAAAGCAUUUGCCAGGGAUGUUUUCA
rnacentral:rRNA from 1 species